AAGAAAAACUCUUUAACUUCCACGCAGCCGACAGGCAGGCUUUUCUAAGAUCCUGUGGACCCACCACCGUACUGAUACAGUGCUAUAUUUUUAUUUAUCUAUGCAUACACAUGCACACAGGUGUGCGUGUGUACGUGUGUUUGUAUGUAUGUAUAUGGAGAGACAGAGAGAGAGAAAUUAAAGCUGCUGCUGUAGAGCGAGCUCCUCUAAAACAUCCUGCUCAUCAGAGUAGCUCUCCGCAUCGCUCUGUUAAAUACAGCCGGGCGGGAAAGCCAUCAUCAAUCAAUUUCGGGUAACAAGGAAGACUUGUUGAACACCUUGUUCUCCAGACCCCGGGAAGAUGCUGGGCUGCCGGAGCGUGGACGAGCCGGGAUUGUGCCCUGAACUUCACCCGCUUGGCAGCCGCUGUUCCUAAGCCAUUUCCCCUCUCCUCCCCUGCCUCUUUGCCUCCCGGACCGGCAGUCUGCUCUUUAAAGUUGAUCUGAAGGGGAAAGCAGAGACGAGCUUGUGCAUAGUUUGGAGGCUUCUGAUCCAUGAAAUAAUCAAGCCCACCAUAUCUCUGUAUCCCACUCUGGAAGAUCUGCCUACUUGGAGUUAAGAAGUUUAACAAGAGAGGCUUAUGCAUUUGUGAGGGCAUGGAUGCUGUGGAAGGAAAGAUUGGGUCUAACUUUUAGUUUCAGAGGAUCAAAUGCAACAUGCUGAAAGGGAAGACAGCUUUACCAACCCACUUCAAAGUAUGUGGAGCUGCAAACAGAAUGCUGGAAAGAUGUAAAGCUAAGGAAAACUCAGAAUGCUUGGGAAGAAAGAGAUCAUGGACAAGCUAUUCUUCUGUUAUUAAAAAAAGAAUAAAUGAAGCAGCUUCCCUAUUCCUGGUCAGCGAAGGAAUGUGUAUCUACUACCCUUAUUACUAAUGUACAAGAGGAUCUGUGUCUGCCUUCACCUGACCGCACAGUGUUGUCAGAGGGCUGCAUUUUACGGCUUCAUCACCAGCUUGCCAUGGUCUUUGAACAUAUCACAGUCAGGUGCUUCUCUAUAGGAAAGAAAGAGAACUGCGAACGCCAAGUGACAUGAAAUUGACGAUUUAUUUAUUUUUUAAAAGGCAUUGUGUUAAUAACAUGGAAAAACAGAGGCUGUAAUGAUCGCUAAUAAAGCACUAGUGUAUUAAUAAAGCUGCUUUGUGCAUUUCC